UCUGGGCGUAAGCGUGCGCAGGCGGUUAUGUAAGACAGAUGUGAAAUCCCCGGGCUCAACCUGGGAACUGCAUUUGUGACUGCAUGGCUAGAGUACGGUAGAGGGGGAUGGAAUUCCGCGUGUAGCAGUGAAAUGCGUAGAUAUGCGGAGGAACACCGAUGGCGAAGGCAAUCCCCUGGACCUGUACUGACGCUCAUGCACGAAAGCGUGGGGAGCAAACAGGAUUAGAUACCCUGGUAGUCCACGCCCUAAACGAUGUCAACUGGUUGUUGGGAAUUAGUUUUCUCAGUAACGAAGCUAACGCGUGAAGUUGACCGCCUGGGGAGUACGGCCGCAAGGUUG
rnacentral:rRNA from 1 species